rnacentral:rRNA from 1 species
CCUUAGAGUUUGAUCCUGGCUCAGGAUGAACGCUGGCGGCGUGCCUAACACAUGCAAGUCGAACGGAAUUUACAUGAAGCCUAGCGAUUGUAAAUUUAGUGGCGGACGGGUGAGUAACGCGUGAGGAACCUGCCUCAAAGAGGGGGACAACAGUUGGAAACGACUGCUAAUACCGCAUAAGCCCACGGGUCGGCAUCGACCAGAGGGAAAAGGAGCAAUCCGCUUUGAGAUGGCCUCGCGUCCGAUUAGCUAGUUGGUGAGGUAAUGGCCCACCAAGGCGACGAUCGGUAGCCGGACUGAGAGGUUGAACGGCCACAUUGGGACUGAGACACGGCCCAGACUCCUACGGGAGGCAGCAGUGGGGAAUAUUGCACAAUGGGGGAAACCCUGAUGCAGCGACGCCGCGUGGAGGAAGAAGGUCUUCGGAUUGUAAACUCCUGUUGUUGGGGAAGAUAAUGACGGUACCCAACAAGGAAGUGACGGCUAACUACGUGCCAGCAGCCGCGGUAAAACGUAGGUCACAAGCGUUGUCCGGAAUUACUGGGUGUAAAGGGAGCGCAGGCGGGAAGACAAGUUGGAAGUGAAAUCUAUGGGCUCAACCCAUAAACUGCUUUCAAAACUGUUUUUCUUGAGUAGUGCAGAGGUAGGCGGAAUUCCCGGUGUAGCGGUGGAAUGCGUAGAUAUCGGGAGGAACACCAGUGGCGAAGGCGGCCUACUGGGCACCAACUGACGCUGAGGCUCGAAAGUGUGGGUAGCAAACAGGAUUAGAUACCCUGGUAGUCCACACCGUAAACGAUGAUUACUAGGUGUUGGAGGAUUGACCCCUUCAGUGCCGCAGUUAACACAAUAAGUAAUCCACCUGGGGAGUACGACCGCAAG